GGGUUGCUAACUCAAUGGUAGAGUACUCGGCUUUUAACCGACUAAUUCCGGGUUCAAAUCCCGGGCAACCCAU
rnacentral:tRNA from 2 species